AUUGAACGCUGGCGGAAUGCUUUACACAUGCAAGUCGAACGGCAGCACGGACUUCGGUCUGGUGGCGAGUGGCGAACGGGUGAGUAAUACAUCGGAACGUGCCCAGUCGUGGGGGAUAACGUAGCGAAAGCUACGCUAAUACCGCAUACGAUCUAAGGAUGAACGCGGGGGAUCGCAAGACCUCGCGCGAUUGGAGCGGCCGAUGGCAGAUUAGGUAGUUGGUAGGGUAAAGGCCUACCAAGCCGACGAUCUGUAGCUGGUCUGAGAGGAUGAUCAGCCACACUGGGACUGAGACACGGCCCAGACUCCUGCGGGAGGCAGCAGUGGGGAAUUUUGGACAAUGGGCGCAAGCCUGAUCCAGCCAUUCCGCGUGCAGGAUGAAGGCCUUCGGGUUGUAAACUGCUCUUGUACAGAACGAAAAGGCUCUGGUUAAUACCCGGGGCUCAUGACGGUACUGUAAGAAUAAGCACCGGCUAACUACGUGCCAGCCGCCGCGGUAA
rnacentral:rRNA from 1 species